rnacentral:rRNA from 1 species
ACGAACGCUGGCGGCGUGCUUCACCCCUUCAAGUCGAACGGAAAGGCCCUGCUUUUGUGGGGUGCUCGAGUGGCGAACGGGUGAGUAACACGUGAGUAACCUGCCCUUGACUUUGGGAUAACUUCAGGAAACUGGGGCUAAUACCGGAUAGGAGCUCCUGCUGCCUGGUGGGGGUUGGAAAGUUUCGGCGGUUGGGGAUGGACUCGCGGCUUAUCAGCUUGUUGGUGGGGUAGUGGCUUACCAAGGCUUUGACGGGUAGCCGGCCUGAGAGGGUGACCGGCCACAUUGGGACUGAGAUACGGCCCAGACUCCUACGGGAGGCAGCAGUGGGGAAUAUUGCACAAUGGGCGGAAGCCUGAUGCAGCAACGCCGCGUGCGGGAUGACGGCCUUCGGGUUGUAAACCGCUUUCGCCUGUGACGAAGCGUGAGUGACGGUAAUGGGUAAAGAAGCACCGGCUAACUACGUG